rnacentral:rRNA from 1 species
UACGGAGGGUGCAAGCGUUGUCCGGAUUUAUUGGGUUUAAAGGGUGCGUAGGCGGCUGUUUAAGUCAGUGGUGAAAGACUCCGGCUCAACCGGGGCAGUGCCAUUGAUACUGGAUAGCUUGAGUAUUGGAGGGGUACAUGGAAUUGAUGGUGUAGCGGUGAAAUGCAUAGAUACCAUCAGGAACACCGAUAGCGAAGGCAUUGUACUGGCCAAUAACUGACGCUGAUGCACGAAAGCAUGGGUAGCGAACAGG